GCCUGGUAGAAAAGCGACCAGAGGGUGGCCGCAAGCUCAGCUCCAUCGGACAGCGUGAUUUGGAUCACAUUGCAAACCAGAUUGUGGCCAAGCAACGUGAUGCCGCCAAGCAAACGGAUCCCCUUUUACGUUGUGGAUCGCUGGAUCCCCCAGUUAAGAGAAGUCUGUAACUUUUUUAGCUUAUAAUUUAAGAACCAAAUGGUUCAAAUGAACCAUAAACAAAAAUUUGAAUAUUGCGAAAAAUUAAUAAAAAAAAACAGCAUAAGACACAUAUAAACGAGGAGAAACGUUGUGAGGCGAUCUCGAACGCGUCUCAAAUUUUGUACCCGGUACUCAGUCAGCAUAUUUUGUACGUACAAAUGUACAAACCCAUACGAUUUUCCGGAUUUUUUUUUCGGUUUUUUUUUUAGUUUAAGAAACCUUACAAAGUCGAUCGAAAAAAGUAGGAUUCAUUUUAAGAUUCAAACGAAAUUUAGAUUCAAUCUGUCAGUCAGAACAAAAUAUAUUUAAAAUAAUUUUAAUUGGUUGCAGAUUUCGAUUCAUUAACAACGACAUUGUAUGCUAUUAGGUUAUGUUACCCUCGCAUAGGCCAGUGUGGCUUUUAGUUAUCCGAGUUAAGAGAGCGUGUUGGCGUAAGAAGUGAUGUAGAUGUAGAUGACAU